rnacentral:rRNA from 1 species
CAGUCGUACCUUCGGGUAAUCAGCCUUUCGGGUGCGAUUCUGUGGAGUUUGAGGAGCUUUAACACCCUCAUGCUUUGCAUAUUCGUGCUCUUGGGUGUACUUGCCCGUGUGGUUGGUUAACAUCAAUUUCGGGCACCAUAAAAUGGCUGGAGGAAUGUAGCUUCGAUCUUGUAUUGAAGUGUUAUAGCCUUCGGUAGAUGUGGUGAUCGAGAUUGAGGAUUGCAACGGAUACCUUUCGGGGCUACCUGUCUGAUCUCUGAUCGUUGCUUUGGUGCUGAAAGCGUGCUUAUAGUUAUCAAAGUCGAUGGUUAAUAGGUUAGAAUGGGUUAAA